rnacentral:ncRNA from 1 species
UUGGUGUUAGCCUUUAGCACUAUAUUUAACUUUUUCCUUCAUCACAUGGUACUAUUUGGAGGGGGACUCUUAGGUAAAAAUUAAAUAUUCUAUUUCCCCACCAGUGAUUAAUUUUGAAAAAUACGGAAGUGUAGUUUUGGGAAUGGAAGACAAGGGGGGUAAAAAAAGUGCCAGCAUCCGCGGUCAUACUUUUCUCUAAGGUUAAAUUUUUUUGUGGUUUAGUGAGAAAAAAUUACUUGGUUAAACAACUUUUUUUUUCGGUAAAAUGAAAAAAAAGUUGUAAUCAACGGCCAAAACAUUCUAAUACUAAAAAGGCUGUAAAAGGGACGGGGAUUAGAUACCCCCUUACUUAGGCUGUUCUAAAUCCACGAUGAUUAUAAGCAACUAAGCUUUAAAUUUAAGAAGGUUGGCGGUGCUUUAAAUCCAUUUAGGGGAACUUGGUGGUUAAUUCGAUAUUCCUCGAGGACUUCACCUCUUUUUUUUCUUUCAUACUGCCGUUGCCAACGUUCUUUUUAAGAAAAAAGUUGAAUGUUAGAAGUUUUUCGACUGGAAUUCAGGUAAAAGUGAAGGGUGUAAAGAGGGCUUAACUGAGUUACAUUGAUUUUUCUUUCAAAAGGUGGUUGAAAUCCUGCAAAAUGAUUGCACUUGAUAGUAAUUUUUUAAAUUGAAAAAAAAUGAAUUGAGUUCUGAAGCGUGUACAAAUCGCCCGGUGCCCCUGAAUUUUAAAUCAGGGUAAGCCGUAACAUAGUAAUGCUACCACAAGGUGGUUUUA